GCUCCCAUAGUUCAAUGGAUAGAAUGCAGGCUUCCGGAGCCUGUGAUAGAGGUUCGAAUCCUCUUGGGAGCA
rnacentral:tRNA from 1 species